rfam:Pyronema omphalodes CBS 100304, CBS100304, WGS project CATG01000000 data, contig: Pcon_v1_contig923
GGUGUUCUGGCCGAGUGGUCUAAGGCGCUAGCUUCAGGUGCUAGUGGUGCAAACCGCGCAGGUUCGAAUCCUGCGGACAUCA